rnacentral:lncRNA from 1 species
AUAAAUUUCUAUAAUAUCAAAUGAUGAACCCAGACUUCAUUGUUUUAGUAGUGGUUGUUCUCCCAAAACUGAGCUUGAAGCCAAUCGAUUGUCCCCUUUUGCACCUGGAAGGCCUUGGCCAAGACAUCAUCUGAGAUAGGUGGCUUUGAUCCAAAGACUGCAUUCGCAAUAGUAAUAACUCCAGGGUUCUGGCUGCUUAGUGCAGCGAUCGCGACUGCUGGCUUGUCAUGGACCGGGUUGAACUGGAAGUGGAUAAGUCCUUGGGGGAAUACAAACACAUCGCCCUUGUUGAGGACCUUGGUAAAUAGCUUGUUGUUGUUGUUAGCUUGGUUGGAGGUGACAAAUCCAACAUAGAGUUUCCCCUCAAGCACGGUGAGGAUCUCUGUGGCACGUGGGUGGGUGUGUGGAGGAUUUUGACCUAAGGGUGCGUAGUCAAUGCGAGCCAACGAGAUGCCCAAUGUGUUGAGUCCUGGUAACUGCAUGGCAUUGAUCAAAGUAACGUUGGAUCCCACCUUGUUCUUGGUGUCCCUUGGUUGGUCAAGUUUUGCUGCCUUGAAGAAGUCAUCUGCGUUCACAGCCAUGGGGUCCUUGCAAACAAAUCCAUUUACCUUCACUGUAUGCAUAAACGAAGGCAAAUAGUUAGAUGGAGAACAGGAUGUCAUUAGGUCGUGCCUAGGAAUGCUUAUUAUAUGUAGACUACGUGUGUUUGAACAAAUUAAAUGAUCCUUAUUGUGUGUUUGAACAAAUUAAAUGAUCCUUAUUCAAAUAAGGAUCAUUUAAUUUGUUCAAACACACGUGGUCUUUAUAGCUGACCCAAAAGCUUGCCGAUAAGGACCUUAGUCGAACGAACAUUUAAACCAUUGAUAAAAACACAACAUGAGUCAAGGCGAGAGCACGCAUACCCGGAGAGUAUUUGUCGGCAACACAGAAGUCUUGAAGCGGGCUAGGGUCAGAGGCAAUGGCCUGAGAUGUGACCAACGCUAGAAAGGCAACAAGAAGGAAGUAGGUCAAGGCUGCCAUUUGGUUUUGCACUCGCUUUUGUGUUUGUGCUCUCUGAAUUCAGCAAGGGAUCUUCUUAGCUUGCGGUGUUUGAGUGUGUCUAUCUUUUUGAUGCUUUGGCAUGGAGACGGUGAGGGUAUAUAUAGCCUGCCACAGCGCAUCAAUGGCUGAAUAAGUCUCAAGUUGAACGUAUCAGCAGAACGUCCUGAAGAAACAGUCUCUGUUUUCAGGUUUUCAACGUGCUGCUUGGUCUCUUUGCUUCUAGCACAAUUAACAUUAAGAAAUUGUAUUCUUUCUUUUCUUUUUUGUGUUUUCAGGUGGCUGGGUUAAAGCGUACUAUAUAUUCUUUUUUUAUUGACGAAUAAUACGUCAUACGACUAUAACAGUGUUGCUGAUGGUUCAUUGCACAACCUAAGUUUUUUUCUACCAUACGUACAUAGAAAGAGUCAACUCACAAAAGAUAUAGAAAUAGUCAGCAACGCGAUCGAAAGUGCAUCUGUCGGUUCCACACUUAUAUAUUGUAUGUAGCUUUAGGCACUAGAGAUAAUAUUUAGAUGUCAAAAUUAGUUGAAGAUGUGCAAACACUUUCAGCUAAUAGUUCAGAUAUUAGCUACUUUAGCAAAUUAACUAAUAGUUAACUAGCUAUUUGUUAGCUAGCUAAUUUCAGUAGUAAUUUUUAGCCAACUAACUAUUAGCUCUAUUGCAUUCAAAUAGCACCUUACACUAAUACGUGAAGGCAGGGUGGCUUAGCAUCACAUUAAAUACAUACCAAUUUUUUCCUUGUCAUUCUUUUUUGCUAUAUAUUUUACGCUCCCCCGCUCAACAACCCCUCCUCCCACUGCCAACCCAUUCCCCGAUCUAAUCCAAUUCACACUAUUGGGACCAGCUAACGUGUGGACAGGUGGGCCCAAUCACUCGGGGGGGGGGGGGGGGACAGGAGAGCUCAGAACAACGAAAUAAUAGGUAGAGAACUGUAGCGUCUCGUUAUGCGUGUCCCGAUCGUGUUCAGUGCGUGGGUAUUUAUAGGUAACCGAGCGGGUAGGUGGGUCCCCAAGUACCAUUAUACCACCGGUUACUUGCUACAUUCCCAAAAUAUUUCUCUCAACGGGGUCAUUACAGUGUAGUGAAGUAGAGUAACUCAGACAUACUGCGGAAUCUACCCCAUGAGGGGCCUUACAAGUGGGCUCGAACGGACACGGUGACGAGGCAGAGACUGGGUCCCACCGUAAUCUGGCGUGGCUUUCACCUGCGAGUUGCACCCUCGACUGCGCGAAGUCGCGCCCUUGACUUCGUUGGGACUUGGACUUCGCUGUAGAGGGAAGAGUCUGAGCCUUCGAGGCGCAAAUGGGGAGCUACAGUGUGCCCCCCUUGUCUAGCGUGGCCCUUCUCUUCGUCACCUUUAAAGGCCACGGUCGAGGACCUCGACGCUGGUACGGGUCAAAGUACCCUUCGCUACUUGUACCUGCACCAAAACAUGUUUAAUUGUAGCCAGAUUAGUCUGAUCGAGGUUGUGUUCGGCAUUCGCUCCAAUAGACACCAUGUCGGGGACCAUCUAUGUGACCUCCGAUUCAAGAGCAACGAUUAGGAACCGACCUUCUUACUCUAACAGUCCAAUCUUUUUAAGUUAAGUACGUCAUUCUCUCACGUACUUAGACAUCAUAUUUAUUUCGUCGCUUUUAACGAAUAAAUAUGUCAGGUCCAACGUACUUAAUGCACACGUUGUCAAUAAAUACGUCGGCCAGGUCAGACCGACAUUUUUUUUGUUGGCCACAUGGGAGAUACUCUGGGCAGCCUAGAUACGCCACGUGGAAGUUAACUAUGUGGAUUAACCGACAUAGUUAUUCUACAUAGCUUAAGUACAUCGGUCACCACAAGCCAAUGUACCAAAAGCUUCCCAGAAGUCUCUCCUAAAUCAAGUUUUUUAAGAAAAACACAAAAACGUGUCUCCAACAGCUUCUCUAAAACACUCCUAACUUUUUCAUAGCUCUUAAAACUCCCUCAUUUGUAGCUACAAAUAAGGGGUUUUUGGGCUUCUCAGAAACAAUCAGUCGCUUUAAUGGAUUUGUUGGAGAAGGGAUUAAAAUCUACCCCUCUAAUUUUUUAGAUGCCCCUUAAAACUGAUUUUGAGGAGUCAUUUUCUAGUGAGCUCCUGGAGAUGCUCUUAGUUGUUGGGCACAUGAAGACUGGCCCGAGAAUACUAGAUUUAAGUACCAUGCAUUUGAGAUUUAUUCAAUGUGCUGCUUAAUUGGUCUGUUUGCUUCAAGCACAACAUUAAUAAAAAUGGUUCAUUGCACAACCUAAGCUUUUGCUACCAUACGUACAAAGAAACAAUCAACUCACAAAAAUUAUAGAAAUUGUCAACAACACGAAAGAAAGUGCACCGUCAAUCUCCGUAUCACCAAACUAACAUGUAUCGUACACAUUUUACUAGAUCAAGCAUUUGAUUUUGCUUCUUAGUACGUAGCUCUACACUAAUAUGUGAAGGAAAGGGAUGCUUAGCAUCAAUUAAGAUUGCUAGACCCUAGUUGUUUUUCUUGAACAAGAGUCACUACCGGAAUGGACCUCUUUGCCGAGUGUCUGAAGCACUCGGCAAAGCCUGAAAAACACUCGGCGAAGGCUUUGCCGAGUGUGACACUCGACAAAGGAAGCUCGACGAACUAUACAUCGGCAACAGUUUCUUUGUCGAGUACAUUUUAUCGAGCAUUCAACAAAUACUUUGUCGAGUGUCACAAAGUACUCGGCAAAGAAAAGUCGCUGUCACGGUGGCUGGUAACGGAGAUGGAGCCUUUGCUGAGUGUACUAGGUGACACUCAGCAAAUAGUAUCCCUUUGCCGAGUGUAUUAGGCGACGCUCGACAAAGAGUUUCCCACUUUGCCGAAUGUCCGUCGAACUAGCACUCGGCAACGAGGUCGCCAGCGGGCCCCUUUGUCAGUUCAUUUGCCGAGUGCACUAGGAGGCACUCGACAAAGGUUGCUUCUUUGCUGAGUGUCAAGGUCACAACACUCAGCAAAGAGGCUUUACCGGUGCCCAGGUGUGCCUUCAUUGCCGAGUGCCCAUUUUUCGAGUGACUUGUAGUUCAGAUCUGAAUUAUAGAAAACACUUUUAUAAUUGUGCCAAAAUGGAACAUGUAAGUCUAUAUAGUGUAGAAACACAUCACAAAAAGUUUGGCUGGAAAAAGAAAAAAAAAUGGAAAUACACUUUGCCGAGUGUCCUAGGAUGGCACUCGGCAAAGUAUGGAUUACCGAGUGUCGAGCUUGAGGCACUCGACAAAGUAGCUGCUUUGCCGAGUGCCAAAUCCCGACUCUCGGCAAAGAUAACGGACGUCAGCUAUAGACGACUGCUAACGGUCCUUUGCCGAGCGUGGGUCUUCGCCGAGUGUUUGGCACUCGGUAAAGAGGUCUUUGCCGAGUGUCUUCCUGUGCCGAGUGCCUUGCUCUCGGUAAACGUGGUCGUUACCAAGAGUAGAACUUUGCCGAGAGCGGCACUCGACAAAGACUGCUUUGCCGAGUGUCCGAUAAAAAGCACUCGACAAAGCUCCGAGCACUCGACAAAGAGUUGGAUUCUGGUAGUGAGUGUUUGGAAUUGCUGAGAACCCUGAUCAUGUUUUUUGAAAUCGUCAAGAGAGUUGCCUUCCAUAUUAAAAAGGGGAGAUGAGCGCCCAGAGGGGCUACCGAUAGUAAAUCCUGACAAGCGGAAAAAGCACUAAAAAUGGUGGCAUGGUUGCCAAGCACAAAAACACAAAAUUAUAGCAGAUUGGCUAAAUGUUUUGCCCCUCCCAUGAUCCACCAACAGUCUUCCUCUUUGAUAUUUACCGGAGUCUGGUGUAGGGUUGUCCUUUUUUGCUAAAAAAUUUGUGAGUUUCUCUCAAACCAAAUCCUCCAAGAGACGAGAAUGAUGAGGGUACGCAAGCCCUUCUUGUCAUUCACUGUAGAUGUCGCAAUAUUUGACCACCAAUGGUGCAUAGAGUCUACAGGUUGUCAAGCGGAAUGGUGAAUCUCAGCACUUGAAGUCCGUAGAGUCAACUUAGCCCAAAUGCGACUCUUGAAGCAGCAUUCAACAAACAUGUGAAAUCUAGAUUCCGUGUAUAGGUAGCACAACACACAAUGCGAAUUGUGAUGCCAUCCUGUCCUUUUGUCCAUGUGAAACCCAGAUUGCAUAUCGAUUCAUAACCACGCCGCUCUUAAUCUGGGCUGUUGAUAUCUGAUCGUGUGGUCCACAAUUGGCGAUACCCCUUUGGCCUCUGUAAAUUUAUAAAAGAGCCCCUUCCCUUUUGUUAUAUGGACCCGCCGUCCAUUGCAACAGUGGACCAAGUCUAGGAAAAUUUUACACGCUAGACCCUGCGUUUUCCAGUAUUUGACGCGAAGUCCAGACAUUUAAUAAAAUCGAGGAAUUAAUUUGGAAAAUGAUUUUUAAUACAAAAAUAAUUCUAGAAACUUGUAUAAUUCAUAUUUAAUUCAUUUUAACUCCAAAUUGAUUCAUUCAAGUGGCAUUAAUUUUGUUUUAAUAUUGUUUAUUAUCUAGUAACCUUAUUUUAGUAUGAAACAUAUGGUUAAAUUUAUGCGCUUGAUUUGUUUUGUAUCUACCACUUAAAACUUCGGAAAAUCAUAAGUAAUUCAUUUUGACUCUAUUUCAAUCCGUUCAAGUUGCGUUAGCUUCGUAUAAAUGUUUACUACGCAGUAGCAACAUUGAUUAUAUGAUAUCCCAUACUUUUAUAAUUAGGUAACUAAUUUGACUAAUCUAUGUUUUCUGGAUUAGCUUAUCCUAAUAUUAAUAUAGUAUCCUGAUCUUAUGGUUAUCUUUGGCCUAAACGAUGAUUUAUAAUCAAGUAAUGGCUUAGAUUAAAGUUGAGUUAAUUAUUUAUAAGAUAUUCUCUCACAUGAUGUAUACUAAUUAAUUUAUAAUAUAGUUUAAUAGUUAAAUCACAUAGAUCUCCCAUAAAUCAUAACUCCUUAACCAUGACUCUGAUCUUACUAGUUCUCGAUCCCACGACCUCAUAGCAACGCGUAGAUUAUUAUUAUACAGUUUGUUCUUAUGUUUGGUGUGGUGUUAAUUAUGCCUAUACCAUGUUUGUUUGUAUUGCUACGACUAGCAGUGAGGUCAUGAGAACCUGAAGAUCAUCCUGGUACCUGGAAUCUCAAGUCCCAGGCAAGUUGUGCCCUUGAUCACUUUUAUUACCCAAUAAUGUUCUUUACUAUCACUUAUUCAUGCAUAGGCUUAAUUUUGAUGGGACCCAAUAGGUCACCCUAGACUGAUUAUCUUAUUACCUUGUUUACCCGUGAACUAUUUGGGUAGUUUUUGCUAUUGCUCUAUAUGGUUUUAGGUUUAAUAUCACAUUAUCUUCAUGUUCCAAUUAUACUGUUAUUUUAUUUAUUGUUCAUGACAAGAUCAUUAUUUUAAUUGGAACAUGGAGCUUAACUUGAGAAACACGUGCCACCACAAGGGUGGAAUGGGACGCCCUUGGUUGACUAACUAGGAAAGCUAGUGGAGGACUAUCUUACCCGAUAGGGGCAAGGGUAGUAGGGGAGUAGGCAUGUAGGGAGGUUCCCGGGUUGAUUUUGCUGCGAUGGCGGUCAGAUGGGGAUUCCUGCAUUGCUCUUCCUAGAAACUGUAGCGGGUUUUCUGAAGCUAGUUGUAAAGGCCUCGUAGUGGAUCCCUAGCCAUUCACCUCGGUAGUGUCUAAGGGUCUAGCUAACCCUAGCGACAUGGGAUACACGACUUGUGGGUACAGGGUACAACCUCUACAGAGUGUAAAACUGGUAUACUAGCCGUGCUCACGGUCAUGAGCAGCUCAAGACUCUCACAUGAUUAAAUUAUGGAACUAAAUUCAAUUUGUCAUUUGCAUUGCAUGGUAUUUAUUAUUAAUUUUGUUCUAUUAUUAUUAUGGUUUGGUAUUUACUUACACUUAGUAAUUGCUAAUAAAAUUUUGACCAACUUUAAAAGCAAUGCUCAGCUUUAACCAUCCUCUUUGGUAAGCCUUACACUUCACAUGAGCUCCCACUAUUGGCGAGUUCAUGCACAUUAUUCCCGACAACUUGUUGAGCGAUGAACAUAUGUGAGCUCACUCUUGCUGUCUCACACCCCCACAGGUCAAGAACAGGUACUGCAGGAUGAGGCGCAUGGAGGAUGCUGUGAUGUGUUCGUGAGAUGUCUAGGCCGCCGUCUCCCAGUCAACUUUGGGUUGUUGGAUCGUUGUCUCCUUACGAUGUAUUUAUUUAUUUAUUUUGUACAGAACUCCUAUUAUAUAGUAAAGUUGUGGCAUUCGUUUCUGUACCAUGAGUCAUCAUAUGUGUGAGACUUGGUCCCAGCAGACCUGGUGAUUAUGUUCGCGCCCGGGUCCCUCAAACCCGGGUGUGACAGAAGUGGUAUCAGAGGAAUGUUGACUGUAGGACGAAACCUAGAUAGAACUGGAUAACCCUUACUUACUUACCUUUGCUACUCUGAUCCUUUCUAAACUUUUCUUAAUCUUUUCUCAUCUAUAUCCGCUUUACUCUGAUUGUUCUUACCUUUUCACUUCUAAGACAAAAAUGGAUUUCACACUUUGAAAUCCUGUAGUGACCUUUAGGAAUAGGAGACCAACUCUUAGGAACAAAAUCAAAACUAUUUUUGUAAAUAUUUGUAUGCUUGAAUGUUUGUUCUUGUGAUACAUGUUUGAUUUGGAUCUUUGAGUUGUGGAGUAAUGUCCACAAUCCCAUCUGCAUAUACAUAUAGGCAUAAAUAUAAAUAAAUAAAAUUCAUAAGAUAACUAAACAACCUGGAUUAUCCUCCAUUAAAGUGUAUCUAUUUUCGAUAGAAUCCUUUAAGUUGAGGUAAAAAACCUAUCUUAUCCUAAUAGGUUCAUCUUAUGUUAAAAAAAUUCUAUCUUAUCCUCAUAAAUUGUUUAUAAGAUAAACUAGACCAACUAAGAAUACCCCCACUAGAAUAUAUCAAGCCUAAUAGAUCCAUUUUACCUUAAAACUCUCUCUCUUAUCUUAAUAGAUUCAUCUUAUCUUGAAGGAAUCAUCUUAUCCGAACCACUUUACUUAUAUCAUCCUAAAUAACAUCGAGGAUCUAAUCCAAAAUAAUGAGAUCUUGUCUAGUCGAAGCUAGUCAUACUAAAUAUAACCUAGAUCUGAUCUGAUGUGAUAGAUUAAUCCAACCUAAAAAGGCUAACCUCAAGUUGAGCUAAUCUAAUGUAAGUUGCUUGACAAGAAGGGUAAUAUUGAUGAAAUAAAUGAAACUCUACUCCUAUAGAACAUGCUUUAACUUAGUUCACUCUGCACUAAAUUAAGAACGACAGACCAACUCGACCAUAUGCAACUACCUUAACCAUCCGAUAGUUGCAUAACCCCUCUGUUUUAACCUGAGAGAGAUUCUGACCAACAUACACCAUAUAAUCCAUCAUAUCUCAAAAUAUUAUAACAUAUCCUAAUAAUAUAUAUCCUACCCUGGUAGAUCUAUCUAAUUUAAACUAGUUUAAUCUAGUUAUAUCCAAUCUAAUCUAGACCCUACCUAGUCUAAUGUGAUCCAAUCUAAAGGGAGUUACUUAAACAAGUUAGUUAAUACUGGUAACAUAGAUUAGACCAUAUUGCUAUGAAUGGGUUUUAAACCUAAAUUGGUGUCUUAGACCAACUCGUCCGUGAAACCACGACCUAGCCUAUGUUAUAGGUUGCUCAACCCAUUUAUCCCAAAAGCAAAGUUAAACUCUGUUUAAUCUAUCUACGCCAUGUACCCGUAAUCGUUACCCCAACUCAGAUAAUGGCAUAUCUAACACCACGACAGAUGGUCCCUAAAUCAGACCCAAGAAGAAAGUUAAUCUCGACAAUGAAGGAUAUGAGUAGAAAUAGAUCUUCAGAUGAAUCAAGAUCCACCACCCGGAGUAAAAGUCUUCCUUACCUAAUUUUCUUUUACCCCAAAUCUUCUCUACACUUACCUAAUAGCUAAAACCUGAUGUGCCCUUGUUUUCUAUGCCACACCUGCUAAUGGCAUAAAAAAUUUUAGGUGUAUAAAAAUACUAAAUUGGAAGUUCCACUUAGAUAAAAAAAGAUACUAGAAUUUCAUAAAGAUAAAGUCAGCUUGAUAUGCUUAAUUAAAUGAUAUUCUUAAAUAGGAUUAUAGAAUCUAAUGUGGUCUAAUCUAGUAUGAUCUAAUCUGAUGUGGCCUACUUAAACAGAUUGGUGAUACUGGUAGAAGAAAGUAGACCUAUCUAACCUAAUAUGAUCUCAUCUAGUGUAAGUUACUUAAUGCUGGUACAAAGAAUAAGGCCAUACUCCUAAUUCACUUAAGCCUAAAUUGGCGACUUAGAUCAACUCGGCCAUAUACCAUCGACCUACACAUUCUUGAUAAAUUGCCUAAUCUAUCUAUUAAGAGAGAGAGAGAGAGAUUCUAAUCUACCAGCUUGACCUACAUAUUUCCAAUGAUAUACAUCAUUGUUUUUCCAAGUCCGACCUAAAACAAAGUCACCCAACUAAAAUUUGACAUAACACAAUCAACUUAUACUAAUCUAGAGCUUGUUCAAUCUAAUGGGAGUCACUUAACAAGUUAACACUAGUGAAAUAAACUGGAUCCUACUCCUAUAAACCUUGUUCUCCCCUCAUGCACUUAAAUCUAAAUUAGUGCAUUAGACCAACUCAACCAUGAGCAGAAGAUCUAACCCAACCAAUAGAGUCAUGAUGAAUUGUAUAAACUAUCUAUCCCCACCUAACAUCAAACAAGAUUUUUGAUCUACAUCAUGUAGGCUAUCUCACCCAUAUCUAUCUCAUCUUGACAGAUUCUAUCUUACCUUUGGACAUUCACCUUAUACGACUAGUUAUCUCAAUCUUGACAUAAAAUAACAGAUUAAGCACUCCCAAAGAAUCUUCAGUUCAUAACCAGUUACUAGCCUAUUCAUUCUGCCGACCGAAUAAUUUCCCUUGCAAAACUAUCUUACCAUAUGCUUCUAACUUCGAUGGUCAAUACCAGGAAGGGAGGAAGAAUCGAUCUACCAGCCAACCCCACAACUGGAGGAUUAUCAGGCAAUAGCAAAUAGAAAUGAAUCCUCCAAAUCCUCCACCGGCUUGAACCGAUCCAGUGGUUGCCGCCCAAAUGCUGGUACUAGAACAAAUGACAAACAUGGUGAACGAAAUGCAAAAUCAGAUAAGGCAAGAAUGCCAGGAAAUGCGUCAAGACCGGCUGGAGAUGCGUCAAGAAAUGAGGCAAGCACGGUUGGAAAGACAACAGCACCACCACCCACCACCAACUCCACCAAGAUAUAUAUAUAUAUAUAUUACUAUUUGUAAGACCUAAAUGUUACUUUAGUUAGUAGUUAAUAUUUUACUAUUUUAGGAAUAAUAAUAAGGUCUAUUAACCCUAUGUGUUGCUAUGCAUCAUGCUGAGAUUUUUAUUUAUGCAUACAUUCGGAGACAACAUUAUUAUACAUCCUUUUUCUUACAAAUCUCGAGGACAAGAUUUCUUGUAAGGGGGUAGGAUUUGUAAUACCCAGUUUGUAAACGAAAAGAAGAGAGUAUAUCUCAUUCUAUGUUUUUACCACAUACUCAAUAUCACAUGGCAAUAACCAUAUAUAAGGGAACAGAUGACUAAGGACAGCUAAAAUAAACCAUGCAUCAUAUUGGAGUUUUGUUUGUUUAUGCAUUUAGUAAUAAUAACAAUAAUACUAAUAAAAAUAUAAUAAUGAGUUGAGGAUUUGAUUUUUUGCCCAAAAAGUACAAUUUGGGAAAUUGGAAAUGAUAUAGGCAAGGAAAAAAAGAAAUACAAUACCAAACAAAAUAAAAACUUAUAAAUAAAUAAAUGUUGGGGACUCGUUCUCAAAUGCUAUGAAUUAAGAACAAGGCAGCAUAAAAUGUUAAAUAUCAAAGCCCUUCGUCCUUUGAAUAAUUAUUUCCCUUCGGAUAUAUUGAGUCUGGGACGAAGGUCAUGAAGGGCAUACCUUCAUGAUCAUGAUAAAGAAAUGGACAAUAUUCAUGCAAAGUAUAAGGAAUAACAUAAUUUGAAUAAACAUAAUUAUCAACUUAUUUAUCUUUAUAUCACUUAUGUAAACAAUAAUAAAUUGCAAGUGUACCUUCGGCUUGAAGGAAUAAGAAUACAGGUGUGACACAAAAAUAGAUGCCAAGUCAGCGUGCCCCGUACGGGAAUACUGUUCACCUAUUUAUAGGCACGGAUCGCAGCCCAUGCAAAAUUACAUUAAUGCCCUUUACAUUUAUCAAUAACUCUAUAGUAAUUCUUCAAGGUCUGAUUCGACUUUUCAUCUUUAAGUCGGUUUCCUCUUCCUGCCGUUAUACCGAAGCUCUUCUGCACACAGCUUCGUGAUUGUCUUAUCCUUCGUCGUAAUCGUCGUUCCAGUCAAGCUUCGUCUUAACCAUGUUCUUGUAUACUCGCAAUCUGUCUUCGAAGGUACCUGUUCACAUAUUUUUCUUGGAAAACAUAGUCAAAUUACGUUUUUGAGGACCUUCGGAAGCCGAAGGCCCCCAACAGUAGCCCCUCGCAAUAUUAAUUUGCUGAAUAACAAAUUUAUAUUGCGACAUGGACGAAGGCUUCGAGCCGAAGGUCCGAAAAAACACCUUCCCUUUGCUAGAAUAGCAACAGUCAAUGGCAAAUGGGGCCUUCCAGCCUCCGACAUAAUGGGUUUAUAAAUACGGGCUCGCCACAAUUUAUUCGGCACGCUCCCUUGCCGUCUGUUUUGCCUGCGCAAUUAGUUUUCUGCCCACAAAUAUUUUGUUGCCUUCCUAGUUUUAAGCUUCGGAAGCGAAAGGCGAGAAUUCCGAAGAGAUGUCUGAGGAGAAGAAGGUUGCUGCCGAAAUGAAGUUGAGUCUUUCUGAAGAGAUGCAUCUGGGUUUUCUUCGAUCUUUGUCGAAGACCAAUACAGAAAAGAUCACUAAAGAAAUUUUGGAAGGUUUAUCUGAAGACACUGGUGAUAGCGACAGUUAUGAUGCGGAUAGUGGUGGUGAAGACUCCGAAGAUCGCCCUUGGCGGCCAAGCCAUGCGGUUUUCGGCAAAUCAAGUAUUAAAGAAAAUCAUCUUGUCAACAUGAGGGGAAGAUAUUUCCGGGAUUUGUCUGUUGUAAGGGCCGACGAAGGAGAGAAGACUUGCCCAACUCCUGAGGAAGAUGAAGUCGUAAUAUUUCGAAGCUUCUUGAAAGCUGGACUACGAUUUCCCCUGAGCCACUUUGUUGUGGAGGUGCUGAAGAUAUUUGAAAUCCACCUUCACCAGCUUAUCCCCGAAGCGAUCAUAAGGAUGAAUAUUUUUGUGUGGGCUGUGAGGAGCCAAGGCUUGGAACCUGAUGCAAAAAGCUUCUGCAACAUGCACGAAUUAUUAUACGAGACAAAACCCUGGGGUAAGGAACAAUAUCACAACAACUUUGGCUGCUACAGCUUCGGCUCUCGGUCUGGGUCAAGCUGCUCAGUGCCGACCUUUCGAAAGAGAUGGCCUGGCAACUGGACGACGGAAUGGUUUUACGUGAAAAAUGACUUGAAAUCUCGAGAGGAUAUAAAGAAGAUCAUUAUGUAUCCCAUCUGGCAACGCUUCGGCCUGCGAAGGCCGAAGGUGGAAAUGAAUGAAGCAGCCGAAGAAUGCCAGAGAGCCUUCGGAGUUGUCUGCUCGUUUAUUGGGACGAGGGAUUUAACACAAGAACAUAUUGCCUUCAGAGUGUGGCCUCUUGCGGAUAAUUGGGAAAUGCCGAAAGAAACUAUUAAAGAAACUGACGAAGGUGGGCUAGUCCGGCUGAAGUACACAUUCAAGUAUGGAGACAAAUUUGUUGAACCAGAUGAUGAUUGGUUAAAGAGCAUUGAGACUGUAAGUGAUGAAUUGCUUGGGGCAUAUUCGAAGGCCGAAGAUACUGCUUUGUCAGCGGCCUUCGGAGGCCGAAAGAAGAAAAGACUCAACCGGGUAUUUGAUGCCAUCGGGUUCGUCUACCCCGACUAUCGUUAUCCCAUUCGAGGGCAGAAAAGAAAAGGCACAACUUCUGUGAAGGAAGAAGCUGCAGCUGCUCCUAGUGAGCCAGCACCGAAAAGAAAAAGGAUAAAGGUUCUCACACAUCGGCCACGCUAUAUUGAACCAGCCUUGGUGCCUGAGUUCACCGGAGAGACCUCUUCGGCCACCGAGGCUGAAGAGCCAACCUUGCUGCCAGAAGUCGCAGAAAUGGCCGAAGCGCCAACAACAAAAGAAUUGGAGGAACCAAAGGUUUUAUUACCAGAAACCAAAGAGAUGGCCGAAGCGCCAUCGACAGAAAAGAUGGAAGAAGCAAAAGGAUCAACUGAAGGAGCAAAAAUAUCAGAAAUUUUAAGUCCUUCAGUAGAAAUUGAAGUAGCAAGAACUAAAAAGGGGCCAACAGUGACCCCAAAAAGAAAAAGAAUGGUCAAUGUGUUGGAUGUUUUGGAAACAAUUAAACUUCCAAGCACAACUCCCAAGAAGACUGCUGAAAUUUCUGAGGCACCUGCGGAAGUAUCCGUUGCUAAGGCUCCGAAGUAACAGACCGUAGUUGAAACUGAGCCCUCAGAACCAACCAAGGUAAAACCUUUGGAAGCAGAAGAAGCAAGAAUUGAAAAGGCAACUGAAGAAAUAAAAAUGUCAGAGCCUAUUUUGGUCGAAGAAAUUGAUACUGCUGUCCCCGAAGCAUCUUCCAAAAUGUACGAUUAUAUUAUGCGUCAUGCUUCAGGGAAAAAGUUAUCGGAAGAAGAAGUUUUUGAAGCCAAUCACUAUGCCAAAGAAUUGAAAUAUCCGAAGGGGGCAUUAGUAUUCAAUGGGACGGAUGAAGAGGAUUUCCUAUACUGCCUCCCAGACAAUAAAGAAUUAUCCGUCUGCCGGGAGAUGUCUAGAAGCAUGGGGUUUCCGAAGCUCGAAGCUGGAUUAAGUGCCAUGACGAAGGAGGAUCUCGCGGACAGUCUUGCGUAUAAUAGCCUGAAGGUAUGGGGAUUGUUCGUUUGAAAAUUUUUCAAUUCGUGACCCAUUCUUUUAUUCUUAUACGAACUCUUUUACGUAUAGGGCUUAAUUUUAAGCAACGCAUUGAGAGCACAAAAGAGUGCCGAAGACGAGAGCUAUGAAAUUGCAUUCAACAACCUACGAUCCGAAGUUAUUAAAUUGAGAAAUGAAGCUCUGGAAAAGGAUAAAAUUCUGCUUACAUUGGUGGAUAAGGUAAAAAAGGACGAAGCUGCCUCAAAGGCCCAGGCCAAAGCCCAAAGACGUGAAAUUAAAGAUCUUCAGAAACAGCUAGCUAGAGCUAAAGAAGAGCGUAUACUUGAAGAAACAAAACGAGAGCUUAGUGAUCAACUGGCCAAUCAUUUAGAGUUAAGUGUCAAAGAGCUUCGGGCCUCCCAGAGGAAAUGCUAUGUUAAGUCCAUAGAGUGCGUCAAAAAGAUAAAAUCUAGCUUCGCCAGCGUUGGCGCGUUUUCUAGUGAAGAGAACUUUUCAAGAGGGAAUCCUGAAGGUCCAAUGGAAUGGAUUAGUCACGAAGCAGAAGCCUUCGAGGAAAUUCUGAAUAGCCGCGACGACAUCUACGCUUUUUCGGGUGCUAGAGGGAUUGCUGCUGUCUUGGAGAAGAAAGGCUGCGAGCACGUAAAAUCCUUAGCGCAGACCGAAGCUACCUUGUCCACUGAUGACAUAAAAGACCCCUCGGCCGAAGCAAGUGUGAUCGGUGGGAAAUUCUUCACCGAUAUCUGGGAUAACAGCGGCCGAGAAUUGGCGCAAGAAAUUAUCCAAAAGAGACAAAAAGGCAUCCAUGAUGCUAGAAAAGUAGCGGAAGCUGCCGAGAGGAGUACAGAGCCCGAAGGGCAAAUAGGUAUUAAUUAGUGGUUUUUAUCAUGCUGUAAUUUUUAAUUCCAAACUCUGUUCUCGGUUUGUAAUAGUAAUAUAGCCGUAUCUUUUCUCCCCUCAGAACCUGCUGAGGCAUCUCCGGACCCCCACCCGAAGGGGGACGAUGAAAUUAGAGAAAUGGCCGAAGCUAUUAUGGAUAAGGUUGUCAACCAACUUUUGAACGAAGCUGUAGAAAUAGUGCUUAAAGAGGAUUGAAUGCCAUUGUAGAAACAUUUGAAAUGUAAAAAUGUGUAAUAUAUUGUAACUUUAAAUGUGAUAUAUUUAAAUGUGAUAUACAAUCUAUUUAUAGUUUAAUUCUUUGCGAUGCAUGAAACUUUGCAUACAUACCAUUUUUGAGCCUUCGGCGAAAAAACACCUUCCCUUCUUUUCAUGCUUCGUGAAGAAAAUCUUCUCUAUAAGAAUUUGCUUACUUUUCUGAUAAAAAAUGUCCAAGCUUCGUGAAAUAUUCUUCGAAGCUGUAAAAAAGUUUUGCUUUGCUUUUGCGAAGAAGCUACACUUCAUGCCGAUUUGCCUUGUGCCUUAGCGCGAUUUUCUCUUUCCCAAAAUAUGUUCCGAAGGUCAAUACUGUAUCCCCUUCUUGUUCCAGAUGCAUUAUGCUGUAUGAUGCUUAUGUUAUGCAAAAUGAUGUGAUGAUGUUAUGUUAUGAAAAAUGAUAUUUGUGACGUAGAUACAUAUCCCUGUGAUAAAGCACACACACUUUUUAAAUCAGCGCUGACUUUUCGCUGUAAGCCUCCCUUAGGAGCUUCUUCGCCUUUUACUUUCAGCGGAAUCAGCGUUUAUUUUUCGUUGUAAGCCUCCCUUAGGAGCUUCUUCGCCUUUUACUUUCAGCGGAAUCAGCGUUUAUUUUUCGCUGUAAGCCUCCCUUAGGAGCUUCUUCGCCUUUUACUUUCAUCGGAAUCAGCGUUUAUUUUUCGCUGUACGUUUAGAAAACUUACUCUGCGCUCCCUUAGGAACGACUUUUUACUGCUUCGAACAAUUUGUACUGUGUCCAUUAGAUCGAAAUUUUUGAUAAUACAAAGAUCCUUCAAAUCAGUAUAAGUUCGUAUGCUUCGGCAACUCGGGCCUAUGGAAAAAACAUAUUUUUAUUAUGGUAAAAGACGGAAGUAUUACAAGAAAUAGAAAUUCAAUUAAAGACAUUUAAACUCUUCAUAAUUGUUCCUUAUUAACAAAAGGGUAAUAAAGAAUGUAGAAAACACAAAAGAACUGCUGUUGAAGUAGGAUAUUCGUCAGUAAAUGUGCUUCGACUCUGGCACAGUGCUAUUGACUGUGCGAGCUUCGGACUCCUCUCUGAAGUCCCACUGAAGGUUAAUGCGUUGACUCCCUUAUGGCUGCUGACCUCUUUGAAUCGGCGGUGGCGGUGGAGGUUGCUGCCAGGAUGCUUGGGAUUGGCUUGCCGAAGCAACAGAAGCUGCAGGGUGGUUGCCUACAUAUUCUGGAAUAUAAGGUGAGUGAUACGAAGCAGUAUGCAUGACCUGCUUCGGCUGACUCUGUUGCGCUGCCGCUUCUGCUAUUUCCUUCUGCUUCUGGAUGGUAACAUGGCACAUCCUGGUAGUAUGGCCCUUGUCUUCACCACAGAAUAGGCAAUAUAUUUUUCUUGGCUGGUCUCCAAACCUUCCCCCGAAGCCCCUGGCGCCUCUGCCCCUUGGCGCUGGCGGCCGAAAAGAACUCUGCUGUUGGGCCGAAGCUUGUGAAGAGUGUUGUGGCCUUUGCUGCUGGCUUCCUCGAUCAUCAGUUUGAGCAGAGUUAUGGAUUGACCUAACAUGCCUCGGGUGAAAUCUUCCUCCGAAGCCCCUGGUCAUUUCAGAAAACCUGAAUGCUUCCUCCCUUCUUUGGCGGAAAUCAUUGUCAGCUCGAAUGUAUUCGUCCAUCUUCUGGAGCAGCUUCUCCAAUGUUUGUGGUGGCUUCCUGGCAAAAUACUGCGCUGAUGGCCCCGGCCGAAGCCCCUUAAUCAUGGCCUCAAUGACAAUUUCAUUGGGCACUGUUGGCGCUUGUGCCCUCAGACGCAGAAACCUCCAGACAUACGCCUGAAGGUACUCUUCGUGGUCCUGGGUACAUUGGAAGAGAGCCUGAGCGGUGACUGGCUUCGUCUGAAACCCUUGGAAGCUAGUUAUCAGCAUAUCCUUCAAUUUCUGCCAAGAAGUGAUUGUCCCUGGCCGAAGGGAUGAGUACCAAGUCUGAGCAACGCUCCUGACGGCCAUGACAAAAGAUUUUGCCAUAACUGCCGUAUUGCCACCAUAUGAAGAUAUUGUCGCUUCAUAGCUCAUUAGGAAUUGCUUCGGGUCUGUGUGACCGUCAUAUAUGGGGAGCUGGGGUGGCUUGUAAGACUGUGUCCAUGGUGUAGCCUGCAAUUCUGUUGAAAGAGGAGAAGCAUCAUCAAAAGCAAAAUUUCCAUGAUGGAAAUCUUCAUACCAGUCAUCCUCAUUGUGGAAGCCUUCCUGAUGAAGCUCUCUGCGUGGAGGCCUUUGGCUUUGAUCGUCUUGAACAAGAUGACGAACCUCUUCAGAAGCUUCGUCUAUCUGUCUCUGAAGAUCAGCUAGAUGAGCCAUCUUCUCCUUCUUGCGUUGAACCUGCUGCUGAAGGAUCUCCAGGUUUUGGAUUUCCUGAUCUAGGUCAUCCUCCGGAGGUGUUGGACUGACAGCCUUCCUCUUCUGGCUUCGGGCCUCUCUAAGAGAAAGGACAUCCUGAUUGGGAUCCAGCGGCUGUAAAGUACCAGCCCCUGUCGCUGAAGCUUUUUUCGGCGGCAUGACGAAGGUGAUGCUUGCCGAAAGUGUUCAAGACUCAAAAAAUGGAAGUGAGUUCACCGGAGGUGGGCGCCAAUGUUGGGGACUCGUUCUCAAAUGCUAUGAAUUAAGAACAAGGCAACAUAAAAUGUUAAAUAUCAAAGCCCUUCGUCCUUUGAAUCAUUAUUUCCCUUCGGAUAUAUUGAGUCUGGGACGAAGGUCAUGAAGGGCAUACCUUCAUGAUCAUGAUAAAGAAAUGGACAAUAUUCAUGCAAAGUAUAAGGAAUAACAUAAUUUGAAUAAACAUAAUUAUCAACUUAUUUAUCUUUAUAUCACUUAUGUAAACAAUAAUAAAUUGCAAGUGUACCUUCGGCUUGAAGGAAUAAGAAUACAGGUGUGACGCAAAAAUAGAUGCCAAGUCAGCGUGCCCCGUACGGGAAUACUGUUCACCUAUUUAUAGGCAUGGGUCGCAGCCCAUGCAAAAUUACAUUAAUGCCCUUUACAUUUAUCAAUAACUCUAUAGUAAUUCUUCAAGGUCUGAUUCGGCUUUUCAUCUUUAAGUCGGUUUCCUCUUCCUGCCGUUAUACCGAAGCUCUUCUGCACACAGCUUCGUGAUUGUCUUAUCCUUCGUCGUAAUCGCCGUUCCAGUCAAGCUUCGUCUUAACCAUCUUCUUGUAUACUCGCAAUCUGUCUUCGAAGGUACCUGUUCACAUAUUUUUCUUGGAAAACAUAGUCAAAUUACGUUUUUGAGGACCUUCGGAAGCCGAAGGCCCCCAACAAUAAAUAAAUCCUAUCCACACUGGUAUGUUUAAAUUCUACCUCUAAUUUGAGUACAAAAAUUCACAACCAUAUUUUAAAUUCAAAUGGAGAUUUAAAAGUAAGAAGAAAAGAAAAUAGAAAAGAAAAGAAGAAAUUAAAGAAAAAGAGAAAACUGAUUCGGCCUGCUUGGCCCAUUUCCCGCGCCAGCCCAUUUAUGCGUCAGCUCGCACCCCUGUGCUUGAGCUGCUGACAAUCGGGCCCCAAAACCCAGUGUCCCUCUAAGCUGAAGCGUGCGCCCCCCUUGACUGUCAUGUGGGACCUAGGGCGCAGUGUCUCCCCCUUCCUUUCUGCUCUCCAGGCCGCAACUAAAUCGCGACAAAGUCGCCAUCGGGGAUCUCACGCGCUCCCGACCAAGACUUGCCCCGGAUUUCGGUUUCAGUUAUUAAGUCGUGCCUCCUGUACCCCCUUCCCUCUCCAUUAAACUAGCGCCUAACCCGAGCCAUCCAUCGUCAGCCCCCAUUGCCGCCGCGGUGACGGAACUCAGUUCGUCGCGCGCCAUACGUCGCUCGCCGUCGACUUGUCCUCUGUUGAGUGUCCGAGUUCAAAUCUAGGGUCCCUUGAAGCCGGCGCAAGGGUCGCCCGAGCUUGUUCUCAUCCCAAGAACAUUGAAUCGCUCGUCGGAGCGUUUGUCUUGCCGCAAAGCCACGGUCGCCGUAGCCUGUGCACGCCAUCGUCAUCCAUCUCUGGUAAGUGCCCCGUUCGUAUUCACAUACAUCUCUUCGUCAAAUAGAACCGAUCUUCCUUGAGUUUGGAGCUUCGGUGCCUCGACACAUGAUUCGCCAGCGAUGGCACCGCCGCUGGUGGCCUGUGUGCCGUCGCAGGCUGAUCGGGGUUGGGGGGGGGGACUUCUGGCCGUUGGAUGAGAGAUCAGCGGUCAGGAACAUAACCUCGACAGCGUUUCGGCCAAUUGAUUGAGCACCGUUGGUUUUCGAUCGAGUGGACGCGAAUAGAUCUCGUCUUUUUAAAAUCCGAACCAUGGAUCUCGGAACGUACGGUUGUGAAUAGAUCGAGUAUAACGCUUCGAGCGGGAUCUGCGUUGGCCGUAGAUUUCUGAUCAGGUGGUUGUAGGCUCAUGUUGCUCAAGAUCAAUUUUGAACCGUUGAAUUAGGAUCCAAUGACCCUAAUUGCAUAUCGAUUCAUAACCACGCCGCUCUAAUCUGGGCCGCUGAUAUCUGAUCGUGUGGCCCACAGUUGGCGAUACCCCUUUGGCCUCUGUAAAUUUAUAAAAGAGCCCCUGCCCUUUUGUUAUAUGAACCCGCCAUCCAAUGCAACAGUGGACUGAGUCUAGGAAAAUUUUACACGCUAGACCAUGCGUUUUCCAGUAUUUGACGCACAGUCCAGACAUUUAAUAAAAUCGAGGAAUUAAUUUGGAAAAUGAUUUUUAUUAUAAAAAUAAUUUCAGAAACUUGUAUAAUUCAUAUUUAAUUCAUUUUAACUUCAAAUUGAUUCAUUCCAGUGGCAUUAACUUUGUUAUAAUAUUGUUUAUUAUCUAGUAACCUUAUUUUAGUAUGAAACAUAUGGUUAAAUUUAUGCGCUUGAUUUGUUUUAUAUCUACCACUUAAAACUUCGGAAAAUCAUAAGUAAUUCAUUUAACUCUAUUUCAAUCCGUUCAAGUUGCGUUAGCAUCAUAUAAAUAUUUACUACGCAGUAGCAACAUUGAUUAUAUGAUAUCACAUACUUUUGUAAUUAGGUAACUAAUUUGACUAAUCUAUGUUUUCUGGAUUAGCUUAUCCUAAUAUUAAUAUUAAUAUAGUUCAUGAUCUAAUGGUUAUCUUUGGCCUAAACGAUGAUUUAUAAUCAAGUAAUGACUUAGAUUAAAGUUAAGUCAAUUAUUUAUAAGAUAUUCUCUCAUAUUUGUAUACUAAUUAAUUUAUAAUAUAGUUUAAUAAUUAAAUCACAUAGAUCUCUCAUAAAUCAUAACUCCUUAACCAUGACUCUGAUCUUACUAGUUCUCGAUCCCACGACCUCGUAGCAACGCGUAGAUUAUUAUUAUACAGUUUGUUCUUAUGUUUGGUGUGGUGUUAUCUAUGCCUAUACCAUGUUUGUUUGUAUUGCUACGACUAAUAGUGAGGUCACGAGAACCUGAAGAUCAUCCUGGUACUUGGAAUCUCAAGUCCCAGGCAAGUUAUGCCCUUGACCACUUUUAUUAUCUAAUAAUGUUCUUUUUUAUCACUUAUUCAUGUAUAGGCUUAAUUUUGAUGGGAUCCAAUAGGUCACCCUAGACUGAUUAUCUUGUUACCUUGUUUACCACUGAACUAUUUGGGUAGUUUUUGCUAUUGCUCUAUAUGGUUUUGGGUUUAAUAUCACAUUAUCUUCAUGUUCCAAUUAUACUGUUAUUUUAUUUAUUGUUCAUGACAAGGUCAUUAUUUUAAUUGGAACAUGAGCUUAACUUGAGAAACAUGUGCCACCACAAGGAUGGAAUGGGAAGCCCUUGACUGACUAACUAGGAAAGCUAGUGGAGGACUAUCUUACCCGAUAGGAGCAAGGGAAGUAAUGGAGUAGGCGUGUAUGGAGGUUCUCGGGUUGAUUUUGCUGCGAUGGCGGUCAGACGGGGAUUUCCUGCAUUGCUCUUCCUACAAACUGUAGCGGGUUUUCUGAAGUGAAAGUCGCCUAGAGGGGGGUGAAUAGGGCGAAUCUGAAAUUUACAAACUUAAUCACAACUACAAGCCGGGUUAGCGUUAGAAAUAGAACGAGUCCGAGAGAGAGGGCGCAAAACAAAUCGCAAGUGAAUAAAGAGUGUGACACGUGGAUUUGUUUUACCGAGGUUCGGUUCUCGCAAACCUACUCCCCGUUGAGGUGGUCACAAAGACCGGGUCUCUUUCAACCCUUUCCCUCUCUCAAACGGUCCCUCGGACCGAGUGAGCUUCUUCUUCUCAAACAAAUGGAACACGAAGUUCCCGCAAGGACCACCACACAAUUGGUGUAUCUUGCCUCAAUUACAAGUGAGUUUGAUCUCAAGAAAGAUUGAGAAAGAAAAGAAGCAAUCCAAGCACAAGAGCUCAAAAGAACACAACAAAUCUCUCUCACUAAUCACUAAAGCUUUGUGUGGAAUUGGGAGAGGAUUUGAUCACUUGGGUGUGUCUAGAAUUGAAUGCUAGAGCUCUUGUAAGUAGUUGAAAGGUGGAAAACUUGGAUGACUUGAAUGUGGGGGUGGUUGGGGUAUUUAUAGCCCCAACCACCAAACUAGCCGUUUGGUGGAGGCUGCUGUCACAUGGCGCACCGGUCAGUCCGGUGCGCCACCAGACACUGUCCGGUGCGCCAGCCACGUCACCAGGCCGUUGGGUUUCGACCGUUGGAGCUCUGACUUGUGGGCCCACCUGGCUGUCCGGUGGCGCACCGGACAAGUCAUGUAGACUGUCCGGUGUGCCACCCGCGCGUGCUCUGACUUCUGCGCGCGCUGGCGCGCAUUCAAUGCGCCUGCAGUCGACCAUUGGCGCGAAGUAGCCGUUGCUCCGCUGGCUCACCGGACAGUCCGGUGUGCACCGGACAGUCCGGUGUGCACCGGACAUGUCCGGUGAAUUAUAGCGGAGCGGAUUCCCGAAGCUAGCGAGUUCAGAGCUGCUCUUCCUUGGGGCACCAGACAGUCCGGUGAAUUAUAGUGGAGCCCUCUAAAAAUUCCCGAAGGUGAAGAGUUUGGCUUGGAGUUCCCUGGUGCACCGGACACUGUCCGGUGGUGCACCGGACACUGUCCGGUGGCACACCGGACAGUCCGGUGCGCCAGACCAGGGCACACUUCGGUUGUCCCUUGCUCACUUUGUUGAACCCUUUUCUUGGUCUUUUUAUUGUCUUAGUGUGAACCUUUGGCACCUGUAUAACUUAUAGACUAGAGCAAACUAGUUAGUCCAAAUAUUUGUGUUGGGCAAUUCAACCACCAAAAUCAUUUAGGAAAUAGGUGUAAGCCUAAUUCCCUUUCAAUCUCCCCCAUUUUGGUGAUUGAUGCCAACACAAACCAAAGCAAAUAUAGAAGUGCAUAAUUGAACUAGUUUGCAUAAUUGUAAGUGCAAAAGGUUACUUAGAAUUGAGCAAAUAUAAAUACUUAUAAGAUACGCAUGGAUUGUUUCUUUAAUUUUUGAUAUUUUGGACCACGCUUGCACCACAUGUUUUGUUUUUGCAAAUUUUUGUAAAUUCUUUUCAAGGUUCUUUUUGCAAAUAGGCAAAGGUUAAUGAAUAAGAUUCUUGAGAAGCAUUUACAAGAUUUGAAAUUUUCUCCCCCUGUUUCAAAUGCUUUUCCUUUGACUAAACAAAACUCCCCCUUAAUGAAAUCUCCUCUUAGUGUUCAAGAGGGUUUUAAGAUAUCAAUUUUGAAAAUACUGCUCUCUCCCCCUUUUCAACACAAUAGGAUAUUAAUUUCAAAAUGUUAAUUUUGAAGAGGGUAUACCAAUUUGAAAUUAUAUCACACAUAAGAUAUCAAUUUGAAAAUACUUCUUUAAGACCAAAUUGAAAGACUAAAAUUUUUGAAAUUGGUGGUGGUACGGUCCUUUUGCUUUGGGCUCAUGCUCUCUCCCCCUUUGGCAUAAAUCGCCAAAAACGAAAUCAUUAGAGCCCUCUUCUAGCUACUUUCUCCCCUUUGGCAAAUAAAACAAGAGUGAAGAUUAUACCAAAGAUGGAGAGUUGCCCCGGAGCGACGGCGAAGGAUGAGUUAUGGAGUGGAGUGGAAGCCUUUGUCUUCGCCGAAGACUCCAAUUCCCUUUCAAUACACCCAUGACUUGGUUUGAAAUGUACUUGAAAACACAUUAGUCAUAGUAUAUAAAAGAGACAUGAUCAAAGGUAUAUUAAUUGAGCUAUGUAUGCAAGACAUCAAAAGAAAUUCCUAGAAUCAAGAAUAUUUAGCUCAUGCCUAUGUUUGUUAAAGGUUUGUUCAUCAAGUGGCUUGGUAAAGAUAUCGGCUAAUUGAUCUUUAGUGUUAAUAUAUGCAAUCUCGAUAUCCCCCUUUUGUUGGUGAUCCCUUAGAAAAUGAUACCGAAUGGCUAUGUGUUUAGUGCGGCUAUGUUCAACGGGAUUAUCCGCCAUGCGGAUUGCACUCUCAUUAUCACAUAGAAGAGGAACUUUGGUUAAUUUGUAACCAUAGUCCCUAAGGGUUUGCCUUAUCCAAAGUAGUUGCGCGCAACAAUGGCCUGCGGCAAUGUACUCGGCUUCGGUAGUAGAAAGAGCUACAAAAUUUUGCUUCUUUGAAGCCCAAGACACCAAGGAUCUUCCCAAGAACUGGCAAGUCCUCGAUGUGCUCUUUCUAUUGAUUUUACACCCCGCCCAAUCGGCAUCCGAAUAACCAAUUAAAUCAAAAGUGGAUCCCCUAGGAUACCAAAGCUCAAACUUAGGAGUAUAAACUAAAUAUCUCAAGAUUCGUUUUACGGCCGUAAGAUGAGCUUCCUUAGGGUCGGCUUGGAAUCUUGCACACAUGCAUAUGGAAAGCAUAAUAUCCGGUCGAGAUGCACAUAAAUACAAUAAAGAGCCUAUCAUCGACCGGUAUACCUUUUGAUCUACGGAUUUACCUUCCGUGUCGAGGUCGAGAUGCCCAUUGGUUCCCAUGGGAGUCUUGAUGGGUUUGGCAUCCUUCAUCCCAAACUUGUUUAAAAUAUCUUGAGCAUACUUUGUUUGGCUAAUGAAGGUGCCCUCUUGGAGUUGCUUCACUUGAAAUCCCAAGAAGUAUUUCAACUCCCCCAUCAUUGACAUCUCGAAUUUUUGAGUCAUGAUCCUACUAAAUUCUUCACAUGUAGAUUCGUUAGUAGACCCAAAUAUAAUAUCAUCAACAUAAAUUUGGCAUACAAACAAAUCAUUGUCAAGAGUUUUAGUAAAUAAAGUAGGAUCGACCUUUCCGACUUUGAAUCCAUUAGUGAUAAGGAAGUCUCUAAGGCAUUCGUACCAUGCUCUUGGGGCUUGCUUGAGCCCAUAAAGCGCCUUAGAGAGUUUAUAAACAUGGUUAGGAUACUCACUAUCUUCAAAGCUGGGAGGUUGCUCAACAUAGACCUCUUCCUUGAUCGGUCCAUUGAGGAAGGCACUCUUCACGUCCAUUUGGUAAAGCUUGAAGCCAUGGUAAGUAGCAUAGGCUAAUAAUAUACGAAUUGACUCAAGCCUAGCUACGGGUGCAUAGGUUUCAUCGAAAUCCAAACCUUCGACUUGGGAGUAUCCCUUGGCCACAAGUCGGGCUUUGUUCCUUGUCACCACACCAUGCUCGUCUUGCUUGUUGAGGAAAACCCACUUGGUUCCUACAACAUUUUGAUUAGGACGUGGAACCAAAUGCCAUACCUCGUUCCUAGUGAAAUUGUUGAGCUCCUCUUGCAUCGCCACCACCCAAUCCGAAUCUUGUAGUGCUUCCUCUACCCUGUGUGGCUCAAUAGAGGAAACAAAAGAGUAAUGUUCACAAAAAUGAGCAACAUGAGAUCUAGUGGUUACCCCCUUAUGAAUGUCGCCGAGGAUAGUGUCGACGGGGUGAUCUCGUUGGAUUGCUUGGUGGACUCUUGGGUGUGGCGGCCUUGGUUCUUCAUCCUCCUUGUCUUGAUCAUUUGCAUCUCCCCCUUGAUCAUUGUUGUCAUCUUGAGGUGGCUCAUCUUCUUGAUCUUGUCCUUCAUCAACUUGAGCCUCAUCCUCAUUUUGAGUUGGUGGAGAUGCUUGCGUGGAGGAGGAUGGUUGAUCUUGUGCAUUUGGAGGCUCUUCGGAUUCCUUAGGACACACAUCCCCAAUUGACAUGUUCCUUAGAGCGAUGCACAGAGCCUCUUCAUCACCUAUCUCAUCAAGAUCAACUUGCUCUACUUGAGAGCCGUUAGUCUCAUCAAACACAACGUCACAAGAAACUUCAACUUGUCCAGUGGACUUGUUAAAGACUCUAUAUGCCCUUGUGUUUGAAUCAUAUCCUAGUAAAAAGCCUUCUACAGUCUUAGGAGCAAAUUUAGAUUUUCUACCUCUUUUAACAAGAAUAAAGCAUUUGCUACCAAAGACUCUAAAAUAUGAAAUAUUGGGCUUUUUACCGGUUAGGAGUUUGUAUGAUGUCUUCUUGAGGAUUCAGUGUAGAUACAAUCGGUUGAUGGCGUAGCAGGCGGUGUUGACCGCCUCGGCCCAAAACCGAUCCGAAGUCUUGUACUCAUCAAGCAUGGUUCUUGCCAUGUCCAAUAGAGUUCUAUUCUUCCUCUCCACUACACCAUUUUGCUGUGGGGUGUAGGGAGAAGAGAACUCAUGCUUGAUGCCCUCCUCCUCAAGGAAGCCUUCAAUUUGAGAGUUCUUGAACUCCGUCCCGUUGUCGCUUCUAAUUUUCUUGAUCCUUAAGCCGAACUCGUUUUGAGCCCGUCUCAAGAAUCCCUUUAAGGUCUCUUGGGUAUGAGAUUUUUCCUGCAAAAAGAAUACCCAAGUGAAGCGAGAAUAAUCAUCCACAAUAACUAGACAGUACUUACUCCCGCCGAUGCUUAUGUAAGCAAUCAGGCCGAAUAGGUCCAUGUGUAGGAGCUCGAGCGGCCUAUCAGUCGUCAUGAUGUUCUUGUGUGGAUGAUGAGCACCAACUUGCUUCCCUGCUUGGCAUGCGCUACAAAUCCUGUCUUCCUCAAAAUGAACAUUUGUUAAUCCUAAAAUGUGCUCUCCCUUUAGAAGCUUAUGAAGAUUCUUCAUCCCAACAUGGGCUAGUCGGCGAUGCCAGAGCCAACCCAUGUUAGUCUUAGCAAUUAAGCAGGUGUCGAGUUCAGCUCUAUCAAAAUCUACCAAGUAUAGCUGACCCUCUAACACUCCCUUAAAUGCUACUGAAUCAUCACUUCUUCUAAAGACAGUGACACCUACAUCAGUAAAUAGACAGUUGUAGCCCAUUUGACAUAAUUGUGAAACGGAAAGCAAAUUGUAAUCUAAAGAAUCUACAAGAAAAACAUUGAAUGGUCAGGAGAUAUAGCAAUUUUACCCAAUCCUUUGACCAAACCUUGGUUUCCAUCCCCAAUGUGAUAGCUCGUUGGGGAUCUUGGUUUUUCUCGUAGGAGGAGAACAUUUUCUUCUCCCCUGUCAUAUGGUUUGUGCACCCGCUGUCGAUGAUCCAACUUGAGCCCCCGGAUGCAUAAACCUACAAAACAAUUUUAGUUCUUGAUUUUAGGUACCCAAAUGGUUUUGGGUCCUUUGGCAUUAGACACACGAACUUUGGGUACCCAAACACAAGUCUUUGAUCCCUUGUGUUUGCCCCCAACAUACUUGGCAACUACCUUGCCGGAUUUGUUUGUCAAAACAUAAGAUCAUCAAAAGUUUUAAAUGAAAUGCUAUGUUCAUUUGAUGCACUAGGAGUUUUCUUCUUAGGCAACUUAGCAUGGGUUGGUUGCCUAGAACUAGAUGUCUCACCCUUAUACUUAAAAGCAUGGUUAGGGCCAGAGUGAGACUUCCUAGAAUAAAUUCUCCUAAUUUUGCUCUCAGGAUAACCGGCAGGGUACAAAAUGUAACCCUUGUUAUCCUGAGGCAUGGGAGCCUUGCCCUUAACAAAGUUGGACAAUUUCUUAGGAGGGGCAUUAAGUUUGACAUUGUCCCCCUUUUGGAAGCCAAUGCCAUCCUUGAUGCCAGGGCGUCUCCCACUAUAAAGCAUACUACGAGCAAAUUUAAAUUUUUCAUUUUCAAGUUCAUGUUCGGCAAUUUUAGCAUCUAAUUUUGCUAUAUGAUCAUUUUGUUGCUUAAUUAAUACCAUAUGAUCAAGAAUAGCAUCAAUAUCAACAUCUCUACAUCUAGUGCAAAUGGAAGUAUGUUCAACGAUAGAUGUAGAGGGUUUGCUAGAUUUUAAUUCUACAACCUUAGCAUGCAAUAUAUCAUUUUUACUUCUAAGGUCGGAAAUGGAAGCAUUGCAAACAUCUAAUUCUUUAGCCUUAGCGAGCAAUUCUUCAUUUUCAUUCCUAAGGCUAGCAAGAGAAAUGUUCAAUUCUUCAAUCUUAGCAAGCAAAUCAACUUUAUCAUUUCUAGGAUUGGAAUUGAAACAUCACAAGCAUUUGAAUCAACCUUAGCAAUUAAACUAGCAUUCUCAUUUCUAAGGUUGUCAAUAAUCUCAUGGCAAGUGCUUAGCUCACUAGAUAGUUUUUCACAUUUCUCUACUUCUAGAGCGUAAGCAUUUUUAACCUUGACAUGCUUUUUGUUCUCUUUAAUAAGGAAGUCCUCUUGGGUGUCCAAGAGAUCAUCCUUCUCAUGAAUAGCACUAAUCAAUUCAUUUAAUUUUUCUUUUUGUUGCAUGUUUAGGUUGGCAAAAAGAAUGCGCAAGUUAUCCUUCUCAUUGCUAGCAUCAUCCUCAUCACUAGAGGUUUCAUAUUUAGUGGAGGAUCUUGAUUUUACCUUCUUCUUUUUGCCGUCCUUUGCCAUGAGGCACUUGUGGCCGACGUUGGGGAAGAGAAGACCCUUGGUGACGGCGAUGUUGGCGGCGUCCUCAUCGGAGGAGGAGUCGCUAGAGCUUUCGUCGGAGUCCCACUCGCGACAAACAUGGGCAUCGCCGCCCUUCUUCUUGUAGUAUCUCUUCUUCUCCUUUUUUCUCCCCUUCUUGUCGUCGCCCCUGUCACUGUCACUAGAUAGUGGACAUUUUGCAAUAAAAUGACCGAGCUUACCACAUUUGUAGCAAACUUUCUUGGAGCGGGGCUUGUAAUCUUUCCCCCUCCUUUGCUUGAGGAUUUGACGGAAGCUCUUUAUGAUGAGCGCCAUCUCCUCAUUGUCGAGCUUGGAGGCGUCGAUGGGUGUUUGACUUGGAGUAGAUUCCUCCUUCUUCUCCUCCGUCGCCUUAAAUGCGACCGGUUGUGCUUCGGACGUGGAGGGGCCAUCAAGCUCGUUGAUCUUCUUUGAGCCUUUGAUCAUCAAUUCAAAGCUCACAAAAUUCCCGAUUACUUCCUCGGGAGUCAUUAGUGUAUAUCUAGGAUUGCCACGAAUUAAUUGAACUUGAGUAGGGUUAAGGAAAACAAGUGAUCUUAGAAUAACCUUAACCAUUUCGUGGUCAUCCCAUUUUUUGCUCCCGAGGUUGCGCACUUGGUUCACCAAGGUUUUGAGCCGGUUGUACAUGUCUUGUGGCUCCUCCCCUUGGCGAAGUCGGAAGCGACCGAGCUCCCCCUCGAUCGUUUCCCGCUUGGUGAUUUUGGUCACCUCAUCUCCUUCGUGUGCGGUUUUUAGCGUGUCCCAAAUCUCCUUGGCACCUUUCAACCCUUGCACCUUGUUAUACUCCUCUCGACUUAGAGAGGCGAGGAGUAUAGUUGAGGCUUGGGAGUUGAAGUGUUGGAUUUGGGCCACUUCAUCCUCAUCAUAAUCUUCAUCCCCUACGGAUGGUGCCUGUACACCAAACUCAACAACAUCCCAUAUACUUUUGUGGAGUGAGGUUAGAUGAAAUCACAUUAAAUCACUCCACCUAGCAUAAUCUUCACCAUCAAAUGUUGGUGGUUUGCCUAAUGGGACGGAAAGUAAAGGUGUAUGUUUAGAAAUGCGAGGGUAGCGUAGGGGGAUCUUACUAAACUUCUUGCGCUCAUGGCGCUUAGAAGUGAUGGAUGGCGCGUCGGAGCCGGAGGUGGAAGGUGAUGAAGUAUCGGUCUCGUAGUAGACUACCUUCCUCAUCUUCUUUUUCUUGUCGCCACUCUGAUGCGAUUUGUGGGAAGAAGAUUUCUUCUCCUUCCCCUUCCCCUUGUUGCGGGAUUCUUCCGAUGAAGCCUUCCCGUGUUUGUAGUGGGCUUGUCGCCGGUCUCCAUUUCCCUCUUGGCGUGAUCUCCCGACAUCACUUCGAGCGGUUAGGCUCUAAUGAAGCACCGGGCUCCGAUACCAAUUGAAAGUCGCCUAGAGGGGGGGGGGGUGAAUAGGGCGAAUCUGAAAUUUACAAACUUAAUCACAACUACAAGCCGGGUUAGCGUUAGAAAUAGAACGAGUCCGAGAGAGAGGGCGCAAAACAAAUCGCAAGUGAAUAAAGAGUGUGACACGUGGAUUUGUUUUACCGAGGUUCGGUUCUCACAAACCUACUCCCCGUUGAGGUGGUCACAAAGACCGGGUCUAUUUCAACCCUUUCCCUCUCUCAAACGGUCCCUCGGACCGAGUGAGCUUCUCAUUCUCAAACAAAUGGAACACGAAGUUCCCGCAAGGACCACCACACAAUUGGUGUAUCUUGCCUCAAUUACAAGUGAGUUUGAUCUCAAGAAAGAUUGAGAAAGAAAAGAAGCAAUCCAAACACAAGAGCUCAAAAGAACACAACAAAUCUCUCUCACUAAUCACUAAAGCUUUGUGUGGAAUUGGGAGAGGAUUUGAUCACUUGGGUGUGUCUAGAAUUGAAUGCUAGAGCUCUUGUAAGUAGUUGAAAGGUGGAAAACUUGGAUGACUUGAAUGUGGGGGUGGUUGGGGUAUUUAUAGCCCCAACCACCAAACUAGUCGUUUGGUGGAGGCUGCUGUCACAUGGCGCACCCGACAGUCCGGUGCGCCACCGAACACUGUCCGGUGCGCCAGCCACGUCACCAGGCCGUUGGGUUCCGACCGUUGGAGCUCUGACUUGUGGGCCCGCCUGGCUGUCCGAUGGCGCACCGGACAAGUCCUGUAGACUGUCCGGUGUGCCACCCGCGCGUGCUCUGACUUCUGCGCGCGCUGGCGCGCAUUCAAUGCGCCUGCAGUCGACCGUUGGCGCGAAGUAGCCGUUGCUCCGCUGGCUCACCGGACAUGUCCGGUGAAUUAUAGCGGAGCAGAUUCCCGAAGCUGGCGAGUUUAGAGCUGCUCUUCCUUGGGGCACCGGACAGUCCGGUGAAUUAUAGUGGAGCCCUCUGAAAAUUCCCGAAGGUGAAGAGUUUGGCUUGGAGUUCCCUGGUGCACCGGACAUUGUCCGGUGGUGCACCGGACAGUCCGGUGCGCCAGACCAGGGCACAGUUCGGUUGUCCCUUGCUCACUUUGUUGAACCCUUUUCUUGGUCUUUUUAUUGGCUUAGUGCGAACCUUUGGCACCUGUAUAACUUAUAGACUAGAGCAAACUAGUUAGUCCAAAUAUUUGUGUUGGGCAAUUCAACCACCAAAAUCAUUUAGGAAAUAGGUGUAAGCCUAAUUCCCUUUCAUGAAGCUAGUGGAACUUUGUAAAGGCCUCGUAGUGGAUCCCUAGUCAUUCACCUCGGUAGUGUCUAAGGGUCUAGCUAACCCUGGCGACAUGGGAUACACGACUUGUGGGUACAGGGUACAACCUCUACAGAGUGUAAAACUGGUAUACUAGUCGUGCUCCCAGUCAUGAGCAUCUCAGGACUCUCGCAUGAUUAAAUUAUGGAACUAAAUUCAAUUUGUCAUUUGCAUUGCAUGGGAUUUAUUAUUAAUUUUGUUCUAUUAUUAUUAUGGUUUGGAAUUUACUUACACUUAGUAACUGCUAAUAAAAUUUUGACCAACUUUAAAAGCAAUGCUCAGCUUUAACCGUCCUCUUUGGUAAGCCUUACACUUCACAUGAGCUCUCACUUUUGGUGAGUUCAUGCACAUUAUUCCUCACAACUUGUUGAGCGAUGAACAUAUGUGAGCUCAACCUUGCUGUCUCACAACCCCCACAGGUCAAGAACAGGUACCACAGGACGAGGCACAUGGAGGAUGCUGUGAUGUGUUCGUGAGAUGUCUAGGCCGUCGUCUCCCAGUCAACUUUGGGUUGCUGGAUCGUUGUCUCCUUACGAUGUAAUUAUUUAUUUAUUUUGUACAGAACUUCUAUUAUACAGUAAAGUUGUGACAUUCGUUUCUGUACCAUGAAUCAUCAUAUGUGUGAGACUUGGUCCCAGCACACCUGAUGAUUAUGUUCGCGCCCGGGUCCCUAAAACCCGGGUGUGACAGUGAAGCCGCUGGAGCUAAGGCAGGCACAACCUGUGGGGGUCUGGGGUCACCGGAGUUGGCCAGGAUUGGUGAGGGGGGCCCGACGAACUCGAUGGCGGGGUUUUUAGUUGAGAGAUCGGGCUGGAGGCAAGGGAAUGGUAGAGGGGGCGCUCUAGGCGUUCGGGGUUACUCCAACGAGCAAUCCCGGCCGUGGGGAGGAGGAAUCGGGUGUGCCGAGGCCAGUGCGAGCUCCAGUGAGGGAGAGGGAACACCUAGAGCCAAAACAUGGGCUAGGACAGGGCUAAAUUGACUGGACGCCGCGCGGGCACCGUGAACCAGCGCGACAGAACUCCGGUGAGCGCGGACUCACUACGACAAGGAAAAAUCAGGGCAGCCAGAGCACGGGAAAAGGUUCCUCACCUCGGGAUAACGCUCGGGGAGGCUCAGCGCGACGUCUGGAGCUCCGGAUGGACGACACGACGGGCACGCUUCUCCGGUGAGCUCGGGCGGCGGCGUCUGAGCGCGAGAGGGGCUGAGAGUGGGCGAAAUGAGGUAGGGGGAAGAGAGCGGGUGCGGGCGAGGCUCAAAAGGGAGCUGGGGGACGUGGGCAGGCGACAUGGCCGAGUUUCUCGACGGGCGUGCGUGCGGGUCAACGGCGGUUCGCGGGGAGGACAAAGCUGACAGGGCGGCCCCAUGGCGCAGAGAGAGAGAGAGAGAGAGAGAGAGAGAGAAGCACGUGUGAGGGGGGAACAGUUCAACGCUGACAGUUCAGGCCCACCUGGCAGAGGGAGAGUGGGGGCGGGCGCGUGAGGGCGAGCGAUGCCUACAGUUCAGGCUCGCCUGAUAGAGGGAGAUAGGGGGCGGGUGCGGGCGCGCGAGGGCGAACUUGUUGAAUUAAUUAAACUUGUUGAAGUUAUGUGAUUAUGAUAUAUAGUGGUUUUGGUUAUCUAUGUGAUGAAAUGUGUCUAUGCAUGUGAUAUAUGUUAUGAAAAUGUGUGUAUGUGAUAUAUGUGAUGAAAUGUGUGUAUGAAUAUAAAUGUAUACGAAUGAAUGUCAAAUUAGAGGAAAUAUUUGUUUCCUGCAUAGAAUAAAUUUCGGUGGCCACCUUAUUUUUGGUGGCCUCGAUAUUGUUGCCAAAAUUUAUUGCAGACCCAACUAUUUUCGGCUGCCCUGCAAGCCACCGAAGUAAAGCACCUUACUUUCCGUUGCCUGGUUUCUAGCCGCCAAAAUUAAAUGCGGCCAUCAAAAAUAGAUGCAUGGUGCCAUGUGUAUUUUCGGUAGCCGCUGUCAAAGCCACCAAAAAUUAAUUAUUCUGGCCGACAACCACCAAAUUGAAGCUAUGGCUUACUAUCGGUGAAACACCAUCAACACGCCGAAAAUAGAGUAUUACUGCUGAAAAUUACCUAUUUUUCUAUAGCGUGAUAUCAGGUGAUCUUCAUCAAGGACUAUUGCAAGCACAUGAAGGUCAUGGCCAACUCUUUACGUAAUGUUAGACACACCAUUUCUAAGCCCCAACUAACGCUCCACCUCCUUUGUGACAAUAGUAAUCCACCCUUGAGAUGUGAUUUUAGAGGACGAUUUGUUUAUGAUUUUCAUCCCUGAUAAUGGAUGGAACUUUAAGGGUGGUCUAAUUUUGUUAAUUGCUCUUGCAAAAAAAAUCUAGAAAUGGUUCAAAAGCUACGGUGUAACAAGACAUAUGACUUGUUAUAUGACCUGUAGACAAUUUUAUAGAUGACUUACUAUAUGAUCCGUGAUCCGUCCCAAUAAAAUGGGAAACGAUAGAGUGUCAUAUACAUUACAUUCACUUUCGAUUAAGGACAUGGUGGUAGAGCCACACUAGGAACACAAUUACAAUUAUAGUUCAGAAACACAGAACAUUUAUUUUUAUUAUGGGUCGUAGACUAGGAAAAAGUAAAUACAUGGAGUAGUAUGUAAAAUGCAAAUAAAUUUCUAUAAUAUCAAAUGAUGAACCCAGACUUAAUUGUUUUAGUAGUGGUUGUUCUCCCAAAAUUGAGCUUGAAGCCAAUCGAUUGUCCCCUUUUGCACCUGGAAGGCCUUUGCCAAGACAUCAUCCGAGAUAGGUGGCUUUGAUCCAAAGACUGCAUUCGCAAUAGUAAUAACUCCAGGGUUCUGGCUGCUUAGUGCAGCGAUCGCGACUGCUGGCUUGUCAUGGACCGGGUUGAACUGGAAGUGGAUGAGUCCUUGGGGGAAUACAAACACA